GAGAGUAUAUCUCAGUGGUAGAGUAUGUGCUUAGCAUGCACGAGGUCCUGGGUUCAAUCCCCAGUACCUCCA
rfam:Camelus ferus unplaced genomic scaffold scaffold1107, whole genome shotgun sequence.